CCUACGGGGGGCUGCAGUGGGGAAUAUUGGACAAUGGGCGAAAGCCUGAUCCAGCCAUGCCGCGUGUGUGAAGAAGGCCUUCGGGUUGUAAAGCACUUUCAGUGGGGAAGAAAGCCUUGGGGCUAAUACCCUCGAGGAAGGACAUCACCCACAGAAGAAGCACCGGCUAACUCCGUGCCAGCAGCCGCGGUAAUACGGAGGGUGCGAGCGUUAAUCGGAAUUACUGGGCGUAAAGCGCGCGUAGGCGGUCUGAUAAGCCGGUUGUGAAAGCCCCGGGCUCAACCUGGGAACGGCAUCCGGAACUGUCAGGCUAGAGUGCAGGAGAGGAAGGUAGAAUUCCCGGUGUAGCGGUGAAAUGCGUAGAGAUCGGGAGGAAUACCAGUGGCGAAGGCAGCCUUCUGGACUGACACUGACGCUGAGGUGCGAAAGCGUGGGUAGCAAACAGGAUUAGAUACCCGAGUAGUC
rnacentral:rRNA from 1 species